GAGUUUGAUCCUGGCUCAGGUUGAACGCUGGCGGCAUGCCUUACACAUGCAAGUCGAACGGCAGCACGGGCUUCGGCCUGGUGGCGAGUGGCGAACGGGUGAGUAAUACAUCGGAACGUGCCCUGACGUGGGGGAUAACUAGUCGAAAGAUUAGCUAAUACCGCAUACGACCUGAGGGUGAAAGCGGGGGACCGUAAGGCCUCGCGCGACAGGAGCGGCCGAUGUCUGAUUAGCUAGUUGGUGGGGUAAGAGCCUACCAAGGCGACGAUCAGUAGCUGGUCUGAGAGGACGAUCAGCCACACUGGGACUGAGACACGGCCCAGACUCCUACGGGAGGCAGCAGUGGGGAAUUUUGGACAAUGGGGGCAACCCUGAUCCAGCAAUGCCGCGUGUGUGAAGAAGGCCUUCGGGUUGUAAAGCACUUUUGUCCGGAAAGAAAACGCUCUGGCUAAUACCUGGGGCGGAUGACGGUACCGGAAAAAUAAGCACCGGCUAAAUACGUGCCAGCAGCCGCGGUAAUACG
rnacentral:rRNA from 1 species